AUGAUGUGGUUUAAUUCGAUGCAACGCGAAAACCUUACCCACCUUUGACAUGUACGGAACCCUUUAGAGAUAGAGGGGUGCUCGAAAGAGAGCCGUAACACAGGUGCUGCAUGGCUGUCGUCAGCUCGUGUCGUGAGAUGUUGGGUUAAGUCCCGCAACGAGCGCAACCCUUGUCAUUAGUUGCUACAUUCAGUUGGGCACUCUAAUGAGACUGCCGGUGACAAGCCGGAGGAAGGUGGGGAUGACGUCAAGUCCUCAUGGCCCUUAUAGGUGGGGCUACACACGUCAUACAAUGGCUGGUACAAAGGGUUGCCAACCCGCGAGGGGGAGCCAAUCCCAUAAAGCCAGUCGUAGUCCGGAUCGUAGUCUGCAACUCGACUACGUGAAGUCGGAAUCGCUAGUAAUCGUGGAUCAGAAUGUCACGGUGAAUACGUUCCCGGGUCUU
rnacentral:rRNA from 1 species